CCUACGGGUGGCAGCAGUGGGGGAUAUUGCACAAUGGGGGAAACCCUGAUGCAGCGACGCCGCGUGUAGGAAGACGGUCCUCUGGAUUGUAAACUACUGUCCCCAGGGACGAAGAUGACGUUACCUGGGGAGGAUGCUCCGGCAAACUACGUGCCAGCAGCCUCGGUACUACGUAGGGAGCGAGCGUUGUCCGGAAUUACUGGGGGUAAAGGGAGCGUAGGCGGGGAUGCAAGGUGGGUGUUAAAUCUACCGGCUCAACUGGUAGUCGCACUCAGAACUGGAGCUCUUGAGUGAAGUAGAGGCAGGCGGAAUUCCUAGUGUAGCGGUGAAAUGCGUAGAUAUUAGGAAGAACACCAGUGGCGAAGGCAGCCUGCUGGGCUGUUACUGACGCUGAGGCUCGAAAGUGUGGGGAGCAAACAGGAUUAGAUACCCUUGUAGUC
rnacentral:rRNA from 1 species